rnacentral:rRNA from 1 species
GACGGAGGAUGCAAGUGUUAUCCGGAAUCACUGGGCGUAAAGCGUCUGUAGGUGGUCAGAUAAGUCAACUGUUAAAUCUUGAGGCUCAACCUCAAAAUCGCAGUCGAAACUAUUCGACUAGAGUAUAGUAGGGGUAAAGGGAAUUUCCAGUGGAGCGGUGAAAUGCGUAGAGAUUGGAAAGAACACCGAUGGCGAAGGCGACACACUGGCCCGUUACUGACGCUGAGGCGCGAAAGCGUGGGGAGCAAACAGG